GCGGCUUGCAGACCAGCGAUGCUGUGGAGAAGUACACUUCAAUGAUCCCCUCAGAUUGUAAGCCCUUCAUUUAUGGGAGGAUGAACCGGUCACAGCUGGAAAGGAAUACUACUGGCUCCUCCAUCAAUGGCACAAAACCUCCCCUCACACACCAAAGGACUUCCCAGAGAGGAAUUUCUCCAGAGCCAAUCAAGUGCCAGCUCUGAGGACCGACAGCCUCAGCAAGGGAGACAAUGUCCGUGGAGAGCCAAUUUACACCGGGAACCUUCCCCUCUCAAUGCCGGACGGAUGGAGUGCUAUGGACAACGUGUUAUUUAUUUCUUUAUGUAUUUUUCUCUGUCCCCUUGUAGUGGUUCAGGAUGGCACUUUAUAGA